GGCAGCAGUAGGGAAUCUUCGGCAAUGGGCGAAAGCCUGACCGAGCAACGCCGCGUGAAUGAUGAAGGCCUUCGGGUUGUAAAAUUCUGUUAUAAGGGAAGAACGACUUUAGUAGGAAAUGGCUAAAGUGUGACGGUACCUUAUGAGAAAGCCACGGCUAACUACGUGCCAGCAGCCGCGGUAAUACGUAGGUGGCAAGCGUUAUCCGGAAUUAUUGGGCGUAAAGAGCGCGCAGGUGGUUGAUUAAGUCUGAUGUGAAAGCCCACGGCUUAACCGUGGAGGGUCAUUGGAAACUGGUCGACUUGAGUGCAGAAGAGGGAAGUGGAAUUCCAUGUGUAGCGGUGAAAUGCGUAGAGAUAUGGAGGAACACCAGUGGCGAAGGCGGCUUCCUGGUCUGUAACUGACACUGAGGCGCGAAAGCGUGGGGAGCAAACAGGAUUAGAUACCCUGGUAGUCCACGCCGUAAACGAUGAGUACUAAGUGU
rnacentral:rRNA from 1 species